rnacentral:rRNA from 1 species
CCUACGGGAGGCAGCACUGGGGAAUCCUGCGCGAGGCAGCAGUGGGGAAUCUUGGACAAUGGCGCAAGCAUGAUCCACUCAUGCCGCUNGAGUGAUGAAGGCCUUAGGGUAGUAAAGCUCUUUCAANCAGGGAUGAUAAUGACAGUACCUGUGAAGAAG